rnacentral:rRNA from 1 species
GGAUUGCCUCAGUAACGGCGAGUGAAGCGGCAAUAGCUCAAAUUUGAAAUCUGGCGUCUUCGGCGUCCGAGUUGUAAUUUGUAGAGGAUGCUAUUGAGUUGUCACCGGUCUAAGUUCCUUGGAACAGGACGUCAUAGAGGGUGAGAAUCCCGUAUGUGACCGGCCAGACGCUCUCUGUAUAGCUCCUUCGACGAGUCGGGUUGUUUGGGAAUGCAGCCCUAAAUGGGAGGUAAAUUUCUUCUAAAGCUAAAUACCGGCCAGAGACCGAUAGCGCACAAGUAGAGUGAUCGAAAGAUGAAAAGCACUUUGGAAAGAGAGUUAAAAAGCACGUGAAAUUGUUGAAAGGGAAGCGCUUGCAAUCAGUCUCGACGGCGGCUGUUCGGCCUCUCUUCUGAGUGGUUUAUUCAGUCGCCGCCGNNCCAGCAUCAGUUCUGGCGGUCGGAUAAAGACGCGGGGAA